AUUGAACGCUGGCGGCAGGCCUAACACAUGCAAGUCGAACGGUAGCACAGAGGAGCUUGCUCCUUGGGUGACGAGUGGCGGACGGGUGAGUAAUGUCUGGGAAACUGCCUGAUGGAGGGGGAUAACUACUGGAAACGGUAGCUAAUACCGCAUAACGUCGCAAGACCAAAGAGGGGGACCUUCGGGCCUCUUGCCAUCAGAUGUGCCCAGAUGGGAUUAGCUAGUAGGUGAGGUAAUGGCUCACCUAGGCGACGAUCCCUAGCUGGUCUGAGAGGAUGACCAGCCACACUGGAACUGAGACACGGUCCAGACUCCUACGGGAGGCAGCAGUGGGGAAUAUUGCACAAUGGGCGCAAGCCUGAUGCAGCCAUGCCGCGUGUAUGAAGAAGGCCUUCGGGUUGUAAAGUACUUUCAGCGGGGAGGAAGGUGAUACGGUUAAUAACCGUGUCAAUUGACGUUACCCGCAGAAGAAGCACCGGCUAACUCCGUGCCAGCCGCCGCCGUAA
rnacentral:rRNA from 1 species